AUUGAACGCUGGCGGUAGGCCUAACACAUGCAAGUCGAGCGGAGCGGCGGGCGGGUGAGUAAUGCCUAGGAAUCUGCCUGGUAGUGGGGGAUAACGUACGGAAACGGGCGCUAAUACCGCAUACUAUCAGAUGAGCCUAGGUCGGAUUAGCUAGUUGGUGGGGUAAAGGGCUACCAAGGCGACUAUCCGUAACUGGUCUGAGUGGAUGAUCACUCACCCUGGAACGGGUACACGGUCCAGACUCCUACGGGAGGCAGCAGUGGGGAAUAUUGGACAAUGGGCGAAAGCCUUACCCAGCCAUGCCGCGUGUGUUAAGAAGGUCUUCGGAUUGUAAAGCACUUUAAGUUGGGAGGCGGUACCAACAGAAUAAGCACCGGCUAACUACGUGCCAGCCGCCGCGGUAAUAC
rnacentral:rRNA from 1 species